UCACCUCUUCCCAUUCCGAACAGAGAAGUUAAGCCCGACAGCGCAGAUGGUACUGCAUCACUGUGGGAGAGUAUGUCGCCGCCUUGU
rnacentral:rRNA from 1 species